CCUACGGGUGGCAGCAGUGAGGAAUAUUGGUCAAUGGACGAGAGUCUGAACCAGCCAAGUAGCGUGAAGGAUGACUGCCCUAUGGGUUGUAAACUUCUUUUAUAUGGGAAUAAAACAGGGUAUGCAUACCCUCUUGUAUGUACCAUAUGAAUAAGGAUCGGCUAACUCCGUGCCAGCAGCCGCGGUAAUACGGAGGAUCCAAGCGUUAUCCGGAUUUAUUGGGUUUAAAGGGAGCGUAGGUGGAUUGUUAAGUUAGAUGUGAAAGUUUGCGGCUUAACUGGAAAAUUGCAGUUGAUACUGGUAGUCUAGAGAGUAGAAGCGGUAGGCGGAAUGUGUGGUGUAGCGGUGAAAUGCUUAGAGAUCAUACAGAACACCGAUUGCGAAGGCAGCUUAC
rnacentral:rRNA from 1 species